AAAUCAGUGAAAGAAGAAGAAGAGAAGAAUAGAAAGAAAGGGAGAGAGAGAUAGAAGAAGAAGAGCAUGAGAGGAGAUAGAGGUAAAAGAAAGAGGAAGAGAAAGAAGUGAGGGAAAAGCAAAGAGAACAAGUAAGAGACAGAAGGAAGAGGAAGGAAGAUACAAACGGCAAGGAGAUGAGGAGAGAGAAACUCAGACGGCGAUGAGCUUCCACCUUCUGUAGGAUAAAGAAGAGCAGAGGGAGAAGACAGGCAGCGAUAGGCUUCCGCAAGCUGUGACAGAAGAAAGAGGAGAGAGAAAGAACACAGGCGACGAUAGGCUUCCGCCAAUUGUGAUAGAAGGAAAAAGAGAGAAAAAGCACAUGCGGCGAUAGGCUUCCGUUGUC
rnacentral:lncRNA from 1 species